rnacentral:rRNA from 1 species
AUGACGUCAAGUCAUCAUGGCCCUUACGCCUAGGGCUACACACGUACUACAAUGGUGGGUACAAAGGGCAGCAAAACCGCGAGGUCGAGCGAAUCUCAAAAAACCCAUCAUAGUCCGGAUUGCAGUCUGCAACUCGACUGCAUGAAGUUGGAAUCGCUAGUAAUCCCGGAUCAGCAUGCCGGGGUGAAUGCGUUCCCGGGCCUU